CAUGAUGACCCUGACAGCAGCACGCAAAACAGUUCAUUUCAAACCCAAAGUAAAGUAUGGCAGAAAAUGAGAGCCUCUUGGAAUUAUGGAUAUCUUUCCACUUAUGUUUAGAAAGGCGGUAGAUUGUUUAAGUCAGACAGUGAGGUUACAUAGAUCACGUAAAGGUGAAACACAAAGAUCUAACACAGUAUGUAGUCAAUUCUCACACAAAGAAAAGGGGGGGGGGAAACAUGCUCGACUGAAAUGAUCUAGACAGACUUCAUCACUAAUUAAAAUGAAUUCCUGGUUGAACUUGACAUCUGCAACAAAGUAUUCCGUUAAAGAACACAAAAUACUUCUAGUGUGCGCUUUCCCCCGUUUUCGAUAACUGUGCACGGAGGUUAUGUAAGGAAUGUAUUUACAUAUGGAAUCAAUUUCAUGUCUAAUCAUGUAAUGACAAAGCCACAAGAUUCGGUCAAUCUCGGCUGGUACCGAACACCACCGAAAUAGCAGGACAUACGACUGCGACUGCGUCAUUUGGUUUUGUCUACAGAACAGUAAAGAUUGGCGAGAUGGAUGUCUUACUUUCUCAUCCCAUAUAUGACUGUUAUCGCAUGGAUCAUAUUAAAGAGAAUCCUUCUCCUGAAUUUCCAAGCUAAGCCACAUCACCAAACAUCCCGGAAACAAAAUUUACUGAGCAACGAUUGGACUACUCCGUGCUCUCGCAGCAGCAAGGGACCGUCUGCAAAAAACAAUCCUCCUAUGGCACGACAUUGAUCCGGAGACUGUGUUGUUCAGUGUUAAGUGUGGCAUAUGAGCAUGUAUCGAGCAUGAUCUCGAUACAUUAAUAGAUUCAUAAUUGAGUUUAUUCACGCCGUGGACCAUGGUGCAACACAGAGCAAACGGACUUGACCUCAGGAUCAACCUGCUCGUCAACUACGGCAAGCAAUUGGGCCGCAGCCUGUUGCUUCUUGCCCACUACACCACAGUUUUUGCACAGUUUCUCUCAAGUUCGGUGAGAUGCAUGGUGGCGGUGGCGAAGUGGACCUCACUGUUUGCGCGGUGCACCACAGAAGCCUUCGGGUCCGUCUAUAGACACCUGAACAGGUGGGGCAAGAAAGUCAAACCCCCAGUGCCACAGGUGACAUCUUCGGCAGUGACACGCAGCUUCAGCGAUGAAAUUGACAGAUGAGGACAACAACGCUUAGCGUUGGUGGUUUCGGAUCCAUCGACAGCUUAUCAAUAAGUCUUAUAUGAGCGUUUUGCAAAAAACCCAAAACCGUUUUUAUUUUAGGUGUAGAUUAAGUUACAGGCCAUCAUUUUUGUACCAAACAGUUAUGUUGAAAUCAUGGACGGCUUUGAGAAAACUGCACAGAGCAGAUACAUACACUGACAUAAUGUAGAUUGUAGCCUCAUAUCCAUGAGUUUCGAUUCAUAUUUUUUUCAUACGUGUUUAUUUUUGCUAGUAAAGUAAAAUUAUUUGAAUAUGUCCAUCAUGUAUUUUUGUAUGCAACUGUUGCACUUCAGCCUUCAUACCUUAACCACUACAACGUAUCUUGCGCUAAGGUAGCAGAGCUAUAUUCCUAUAACUACCAGGGAAGACGCUGUCAUGUGCUGAGCCACUAUUUAUACCCAGCACAUGGGUCUACCCAGAAAGGGGCAUUAAAGCUCUCUGUUUUCUUCUGUACCUUGGGGCCAAAAACACUACUUUUGAGCUGUGAUUACACAACCCACCGCUGAUUGUCGAGACUGGAAGACACGGGAAACAAAGACACAUUUCUACAUUUGAUUAUUCAACAUGCUAGACAACGCUAGACAAUUAUUGUCUAUUUAAGAGUUUUUCUUUCUUUUGUUGUUUUGUUUGUGUGGAUCUGUAGUUUAGGUAAGCGAGUUAGGAACCUUUUCAAGGUUAUAUCAGCUCAUGACAACAAGUUGAUGAAACAACCCAUGUUUAUAAUACUGCAUUGUAUUACGAUUAUUUUAUCCAUAUACAAUAUAGUUCCAUUUAACCCACUAUUAUAAAACGUGUUAUAAUAAGCCAAUAUGAAAAAACAAUUCUGUUUACUAAAUAACAAGGUCAAACAUCAUUGUGAAGCUUGAAGCUUGAAGCUUGUGAAGAUUAAAGUUAUACUGUAUUUUAUACUCCGGUGGUAACCACUCUCUGAACAGGCAUGUUACAGUAACCUAAAUAUAUUCCACGAUAAAACAACUCUUUAUUGCAGUGUUUAAACUUGACAUUUCAAAUAAACCCAAUUAAAAAUCAAA